AUUUAGAGGAAGGAGAAGUCGUAACAAGGUUUCCGUAGGUGAACCUGCGGAAGGAUCAUUGUCGAAUCCUGCGAAGCAGAACAACUCGUGAACCUGUUAUCACAACGUGUUGAGGUGACUUGGUACCAUCGGUUCCAUAUCCCCUCGACUGGCCCUUGCGGCCAACCUAACCAACCCCGGCGCGGAUUGCGCCAAGGAAAAGAGAUAACAAAGCGUGUGCCCCAUGCGUCCAGAAAUGGAUGGUCCGGGGUCAUUCGUGAUACGUAACAUAAAAAUGACUCUCGGCAACGGAUAUCUCGGCUCUCGCAUCGAUGAAGAACGUAGCGAAAUGCGAUACUUGGUGUGAAUUGCAGAAUCCCGUGAACCAUCGAGUCUUUGAACGCAAGUUGCGCCCCAAGCCUUCGGGUCGAGGGCACGUCUGCCUGGGUGUCACGCAUCGUAGCCAAUACAACCUCGUGCAACCGUGUUCACGAGGGUUGGAGUGUGGCUGAUAAUGGCUCUCCCGUACUCGGAAGAGUGCGGUUGGCCUAAAUGUAGCAACCCUAAUGUUGUGCAUGCCACGAUGAGCGGUGGUUUGUGUAUAACCUUGCCCUCGUUAAUACAUCGUGUGCAUCAUCUCAUCGGAGACGGUUGCUUGUGUACCCCAAUGCCAUCUUGUAAGAUAGCGCACAUCGCGACCCCAGGUCAGGCGGGAAUACCCGCUGAGUUUAAGCAUAUC
rnacentral:misc_RNA from 1 species